rnacentral:lncRNA from 1 species
UACUUUUUUUUUUUUUUUUUUUGUCAGCAACGAUACAUUUGUAUAACCUACUCUAUCCUAAUCUAGGGGGAGGGAGAGCCUAAGGAGGCUGUGGGUAUACAGACCUAACUAGACCAAGGGAGUGAUCUGGCACAACCCUUAGAUUUUUUUCUCAAUGUACUUGCAAAUGGCAUUAUUAUAUCUUGACAUCGUGUUAACAUCUUUUCUCUAUUUGGCAUUAUUAUAUUUAAUGCUGAUAAAUCCUAGACAUGUUUGGCUGGCUGCAUCUGCAAAAAGAAUGUACUUGUAUAUGACUGAAGUUCGUCUUAUGAUUUCCUUGCUUGAUCGCAUUUGAUGAAGAAAUAGAAAAUGUAUUCCGAUUGAUUAAAGGAAUUGAGGUGAUCUAUGAAAGGAAAACCCUAAUACCUUUUUAAGCAGCCAUGUGAGUACUGAAUUAAUUAGUGAUGAUCAACAUUGGCACAGUUAGCGUACGUGCAAUAAAAUGAGACUUGAAAAGAUGAUGGCAUCGGAACUUAAAAAAAAGUUACAAACACUGUUUGGAAGAAUGAAAAGAUGAAAUAGACGACGGUGAUCAAGCUUUGUACUUAACACUUAUUGGUCGCUUAAUCCUGUUUAUAUUUGUUGUAAAUGAGCGUAAUAUUGGAAGGAUGUUUGAAGUAAAAGAUUUGUGUGGCAGUGGAACCAAGAAAAAGAUUUGUAAGUAUUGAUUGUAGUUUUCAAGCUUAAGAUCUCAAUAGCUGAUGAUGAUUCUGUGAUUUCUAGAGCGCAUUGAAAGCGUUUAUCUUGUCAUCAUUCAGGUAAAUAUUUGGUGCUUGCUCUAAUUUCAUCAUGAGCUUCUUUCUUUCUUUCUUUCUUUUGGCUGGUCGUGCCAAGUCGUUGUCUCUUUUUUGAAUAUAAAUGAAAAACAAUUAUUAAGAUUCAUCGAGUCUAUAAGGGAUAGAUGAUAUUUAUCAUUUUCUUGGUUCCAACUUAAUUACGUAGCCAUAUUUUCCUCCUGGUCUCUAUUUGUGUAAAAAUGCUACUACUAUUUCUUUUUCCCAACUAUAUAUAUAUAUAUAUAUAUAUAUAUAUAUAUAUAUAUAUAUAUAUAUAUUAUGUAACAAUUUUCAUUCCAUAGACUUCAAAGCCAGCCUUCAAUAUGUAGCUAAUCUGUUUCUUGCCAAUAUAUAUAUGUAUAGUGUGUGUGUGUGUGUCGCAUAAUCCGGAAAUUAAAGUGAUUCGUUCUCACGUCUCGCACCUAAUUACUACUAAUUACGCGCUGUAUGUAUAUUUGAAGAUCAAGUUCAUCACGUAACUUUCACUUGAAACUGUGAUUUUAUGUUGCUUAAGCUACCAACAGCCGACGCAAUGUAGCAGAUGAUACACUACUGACAUUUGAUUUACCAUGGUUGGAACCCCAUUAUGAAUAGCAUGACUACUACUCAAACGGGCAAACCCCAGAAGAAGAAGAUAUCCCGAUGACAAGCUUCGAGACAAAUCUCCCUGUUUCUUAGUUCCCCAAAAGAAAAAAACAAACCAAAAAAAAGAAAAAGAGAGAGACAAAUCUCCCUGUUUCUCUCUGAUCCCCUCUGUGUCAAACGAAAUUGGCCAGACAAGUACGACACGACCGGCCAUAACCUAGUCGAGCGAGUACAUACUCAGAUCAGGGACAAACCGUCUAUGAUUGAGAUAAGGUGACCCCGUGAAAACAAUAAUUGCAAUUUGUAGCUCCAAAAUUAAACAGGAAGAAGAAGCACACGAACAAUCCCAUCGCAGCACAUCUCUACAUUAGCUUUCCUUCCAACCCUUUAUUAUUAAGUUUUUUUUUCUUUUUUUUUUGGGGGAGAGAAAAGAGGGGGGGGGGGUCUUUAACGCUCAAAGAAUCUCUUCCUUCUCCUUUACCAGUAAUUACUAGUCCCCACCCCACCACUACAAAAAGAUAAGGUGCGAACCGAUUAAGAGAUCACUCAGAAGCACAUUAUGGCUAACCCUUUUAACUACGACCACUACUGCUUUUCUUGCACGGUCUUAUCACUGCUCAUUUCGCUGCAUGCGGCGGCUACCAUUGCGAGCCAAGUGCAGGCGAAUAGCGCAACAACUCCACCUCUUCCCAUCCUUCCGCUGCCUUCCUAUUCUCAACUGAAAUGGCAGCAGAGAGAAAUCAUCAUGUUUUUCCACUUUGGAGUCAACACAUUCACGGACUCCGAGUGGGGCACCGGGCAAGAAAACCCGGCCAUCUUCAAUCCAACAGUCCUAGACGCCGCCCAGUGGGUUGAUACGGCCGUUCAAGCUGGCGUUUCUCUGGUCAUACUUACUGCUAAACAUCACGAUGGCUUUUGCUUAUGGCCCUCUAAAUACACCGAUCAUUCCGUCAUCAGCAGCCCUUGGCGAAAUGGCAAGGGGGACGUCGUUCAAGAGCUUGUCAAUGCAGCCAACCCUCGCGGGGUGGACGUCGGAUUGUACCUUUCUCCGUGGGAUCGUCAUGAUCCAAGAUACGGCAAGAAUAAGGAGUACAACGAAUACUACCUGGCUCAGCUACAAGAAUUACUACGCAAGUGAGUCGAUACGCUCGCUUUUUCAGAACUGUUUCGGUUUGAUUUUUAUGGGUUUAUUUGUUUGAUUAUUAUUAUUGUUGUUGUGACUGGGCGAUGACAGAUACGGAAGUGUGAAGGAAAUAUGGUUUGACGGAGCCAAGGGUUCCAAUGCACCAAACAUGACGUAUGAUUUCGGCGACUGGUUUUCAUUGGUGAGGGAACUGCAGAGCUCCAUCAACAUAUUCUCGGAUGCUGGUCCGGACGUCAGGUGGGUCGGAAAUGAGCAAGGGUUCGCCGGAAGCACAUGCUGGUCCACCAUUAAUCGAACUGCCUUAUCAAUUGGCAAUGCUAGUAUCGUCGGGUAAGUAAACUCUUACAUGAUAGUAGUUCCAUCUAGCUAUCUCCCUUUCAUUAAAAAAAAGAAAAAGAAAAAGAAAAAAGAAGCUAAUUAAUCUACGAGAUUUAGAAUCUUUAGAAUCAAAGAGGCAGACCAUCCAUCUUUAACUUUGUUUCCAGCCAAAUAUUUGAUGAUUUUGUCAAUAAUGAAUAACACUUGGAAUUUAGUGCGAGACAAUCAUGCAGAGAAUCUCCUUGUCUUUUCUCUAUUCUAGAUGAUGAGUUAUUGACAAGGUAAACAUGUCCAGUAUCUUGACCUUUACAUUACGAUUGAAAAAAAGUAUUCUUAAAUUCUCGCUCAGAUUAUUAUUAUUAUUAUUUGUAGGUGUUAUUAUUAUUAAUAUUAUGAUAUUAUUUGUACAAAACCAAAACAUUUCUGUUGAUGCCAUCAACAGAAAUGAAUAGUAAUAUUUCUAGCUUGCAGUCAAAACAUCAUGGAUUUUAACCCAUAACUUUAAACAUUAAUGUUAUUCAUGAUUAACGGCAUUAUUUUUCUUAUCCUGCACAAUCAAUAAUCCAGUCUUAGCCAUUAAUCACUGUUAUACAAUCAGUAAACAUCAGAAGAAUUGACAUUGACAGUGCGAACACGGCACUAGAAAAUAAGAAGCUAAGAAGAUGCCGGGACUGGGGAGUAACAUUUACGAUAAAAGUAACGUAAGAUCCACAAAAGAAAAAAGAUACAUUUUUUUUUUUUUUUCCAAAUCGAAUCGAAUAAUGCUUAUUUUUCGAUAAUAAAAUGGUGCAGUUAUCUCAACACCGGCGAUCCCAAAGGCACCGACUGGCUACCUCCCGAGUGCGACGUCUCAAUUCGAACCGGGUGGUUUUGGCAUAAAUCCCAAUCCCCCAAGCCACUCCACCAACUCCUUCAAAUUUACUACAAUUCCGUCGGAAGAAAUUGCGUCUUACUCCUUAACGUGCCCCCUAAUCCCACAGGCCUCAUUUCCGAAAGCGACAUUCUGAGGCUCAGAGAAUUUAGAAAAGCAGUUGACACCGUAUUCUCCUCCAAUCUGGCUGAAAACUGUUCCGUUACUGCCAGCAGCCAACGAGGAGGUAAAGGAGGCGGUUUUGGCCCAGAAAACGUCGUGGACGGGGACCACCUGUGGACGUACUGGGCCCCCAGUGACGAUGACGACGACAAAGAACAUCACUGGAUAGAAUUCAGAGCCUCCGACGGACCGCUGAGAUUCAAUGUGGUUAGGAUUCAGGAAGCGAUCGGGUUGGGGCAGAGGAUCCGACAGCACGAAGUGUACGCGGAUGGGAAGAGGAUUGCCAGCGGAACGACGGUGGGCCACAAGAGGCUGCACAGGCUGGAAAAGGGUGCGGUGCACGCUCUCAGCGUAAAGAUAAAAAUCACGGGAUCACGGGCAACACCCUUGCUAUCUUCUGUGGGUCUGCAUUUUGAUCCCUUUUGGCACCCAAAUCCAAAUGGCAAGCCUCCAUCCAAAUUCGUCCAUUAGUAAGAAAAAGAUAUGUCGUCUGUGCGAAGAGGCCGCUGAAACCUCUGUUUUAACUGCGGGCGGACCUUAUGAUGGAUGGAUGCAUCCAUUAUCUCUGUGUACCGGGCCUUUUGGCCUCCAUCCAAAUAAUUAUUAGUAUAUACGAGGGUUCCGUUCUAUGAUGAAUUAUGUGUUGUAAAAUGACGGAAGGGGCAAACAAUUGCUUUCGACACACACCUAUAAUCAUCGUUACAAGGACUAAAGCAAAACAAUCCCGUGGGAAUCCAGGAGCCUGUCAUCCAGGCUUUGUACUCUCCAACCGCAAUAUUUGAGACAAACAGAUUCAUGCAUGCUGUUAUCGAAUGUAUUAUACAAGUUCUUACAACAACAUUGACAGCGCCCUUGCCAACAAAAAUCCGAGCACAUUCCUCAACCCGUUGUUGAACUAGAGGGGUCAAAGUAUUACAGUAAAUCACAGAAUUCUAAAGCGGCUUUGUGUUGAAAUUGAAACAUGUGCAUAUAAAGCUUUUGUAGGCACUCACCAGUCUCCAUUCACCAAUAACUUGUCUGAACUGUACGCUUGUGAGCCGCUGCAGCUUACUAUGCUUGUAUUGUACCCCCCCCAAAACAAAACUGCACCUACUGCUGCCUGCCACCGCAACGAUGACAAGCAGUAGCGAGUUCGCACAACCGAUUGAUGACACGGACUUGGACAAAUUUCAUGCUGAUGAGCAAGAAUUUUUCACUGGCGGCUUUGGCCGUCUUGUUCUUCAACAUCUUGUCGUCCACUUUUUAGCUGAAUUCUUCGUUCCUAUGUGCAUAACCAUUUGGCAUAUACUCAUAACAGGGAAAAAAAAAAAAAAAGGGAGAAUGAUUGUGGAGAUCUCACCAAACUAAAUAAAUAAAUUAGAGCAACACGUCACCCCCAUUUCACUGAUAUUCUGGUUCUGUCAUAGCUGACAAAAAGGCAACGACCUUUUGCAAUUCUGUGAAUUUUACUGGGGCUUUGUUCAAUUCUGCCAUGAAGCAUGUCCUCCUCAUUUAGGAGUCAUUACUAUUAACAAAGAUACGUCAGUCACACGGACACCUUUUCCUCUUCUGAACAUUUUUCUGUUUCUGUGAGUAAAUUGGAACAAGUACAAAAUUCACCGAAGGAUUUCGAAUAUGAAGGGAAAUAGGGAAAAAAAAAAACAUAAAGAUAAUCAAUAAACAGUUCUUGAUGAUUCUCAAAGUUUCAUCAGUAAGUGGGAGAUGCCAAGCAAUCAAGUUACCCACAGUUGACAAUGUGAAACUGCAACACGUAAAUGUCUUGGCCCUUAUAGAAAACCCUCGAUACCUCGUCCUGCUUGUACUUCUCUAUAUAUGAGCAAGGCUUCUUCCAUAACUUUUGCUUGAGCCAAUAACUGAGCUCUCUUUUUUCCUGACGGGUGAGUAGAAAGAUAAUCCCGUAGUGCUGAUUCACCCGUUACUUUACCCAGCUUCUCAAACACCCUGGGAGCCACUCGAGGAUCAUACCCUGCCGAAGCCAUUAAAAGUAGACCAAUGUAAUCUGCUUCCAUCUCCAUCCUACAAGGGAACGUAAAUGUAAGUGACAACAAGUUGUACAAGGUUAUCAAAGGCAAGAAAUGAAAAUACAAACCUGGCAGAUUAAUCAGCAAGUAAUGCCUAGCCAAUUAAAAUUCAAUCACAAGUUUGCAUUAUUUUGGUCACCAGUGGUGCAGCAAUACUUCAGACUUCAGAGAGUAACCAAGACAUAGACUGAAUGCAGUUGUUAAGAAGUUUCUCCAGAGCUUUCAAUAUCUAUAAGAAUGAAGACACAAUUGUUCUUCUUUCCUAGUGGUCCCAAGAAGUUUGAGCCAUAAAACAUAUUCAAGUUAAGUUAAAUACAGUCAAAAUCUCUCAGUCAAAAUCUCUCAAUCACCUUUAUCUGGUUCAAGAAUCUCAAAGAUUAAAGUACUUCUCUCCCAUGCUAUAUACCCCGCCUCUCCCUCCCUGUUUGUUGCACUUGAACGCCAUAAAUAUAUAGAACAUAACUCCAUGCCUCCCAGUGCUUUUCCACUCUUCUCUUAUACUUCUAUGUGCCACAAUUCGUUUUUCUGUAUACAAGAAGGUUAGUCUUGGUCUCUUUUGUUUUACAAUUUUAUUAGAAAUUGUUUGUGAAUGAAGUCACAUGCAGCAAGACUAACUUAAGGUAAUGUGGCUCAACAACUGUGAUAGAUGAGGUACUCAAUGAAGAUCUAGAUUAAAAUGCACUAUACAAUGUCCUGUAUUACUAAAUAGUUUCCUGAACUCGUAUCCUGCCAAAUGAACUGAUUACUGACAGGUUAAUUCUGAAAAUAGCUUGUUACCCAUCUUCCAAAACAACAACUUACAAGAAUAUAGUCAUAUACAGAUUAUAACACAGUAUUUAAAGGGAAAAAUGGGUAUAGCUAAACUGAUAGCUGGCACGACAAGGCUCCCUCUAUCAAACAAUUCUAAGCAUGUAUAGGCAGGGAGAGUGAGAAAAUACCCUGUUUCUUACUUUCCAAACAUUUAGCAUUCAGUAUGAGCUAGUGGAAAGAAAGUACAGAUUCAACAUUUCUCCACAAACCUACCACAUAGACCAAUAUAACUCUUAGUAUUUGGAAUGGCAGUCCAAAAGUAAUCAAUCUACAGAAAUGGUUCUCAUAUAUAUCAGACAGCAUUCCUAACAAAAACUGGAAAAUCCUAUGUUAUUCCCAGGUACAUAAAUAGAGAUAAUAAGACGUGUGAGAGAAAGGAAAAAGCAAAGAGCACAGCAAUAAGAAUAGCAACCAAAGCAUCACAUUAACUGAAGCCAAAGGCUUGUCUCUAACAAGGUUUCAGUUGCAAGCAUGGUUCGCCAUCGCGGGUCGCGGUCGCGUCGCGGUCUCGAUUGUUCCACAUCCGUCGCGACAUAUCGGUUGAAUAUCGGAUGAUACGAACAUUAUAACACAUUAAAGUUUCCAAAAAUUUUGAAAAAUUAUUAAAAUUAGAAAAUAUUAAAAAAGACAUAAUUUAAAAAAAUAUCGGAGUCGACUCCGAGUUGACUCGGGUAUAUCGGCCGAUAUCAUGCAUCACGGAUUCGAAUCGGUCAAUAUCGGUUGAGUCAGAGCGAGUCAUCGCGGAUAUGGUGAUAUCCGCGUUUCGGGUAUCGGUAUCGGAACGGUAGGGACCGUUCCGGUUACGACUCGGCCGAGUCGUCUCGGACUCGGCCGAGUUGGCGAACCUUGCAAGCCUAAGACAUUUACAUCUCAAAAGCAUGGCACCUUUCAGUAUCCAUAAUGCACGUAAGGAUAGUAUGUAAACAAGCAAUCAAACAUAUAGCUCAAAAGGUCACCAUCUGCAAAAUCAAAUUUUUAGGCACAUAUGUUGGCAUCACUGAUAGGGAGCUCUUGAAUCUUAGGACAAUGCAAAAAGUUAUAGAGAUAUGACAUGAUGUGAGAACCCAGUGUCCUUAGCACAACAAUAACGAUGUUAGCAAAUCAAACUUUGAAGCUUUUAUAUUAAAGAAAAGCUGCCAUACAAAUCGUACACAUUAAACAUUUACCUCCUUGAGAAAGGAAGCCGUAGGAAAAGAUUAGACAUUGUAUUGACAACAUCAGGCAUGACAAAUUGAUAUAAAAUCAAUUGCACAAUCGCAAACCACAGGUUUUUAGUAAUUCCUUCAGCAGCAUGUCUAGCCACAGCAUGAGCAACCUAUCGAGCAAAAGGUUUCAGCUAAUUCAGAACAACUUGAUUAAAUGUGCUAAGAGAAACAAAAUUACAAUUCAUUAAAUAUGCCAAAAAUACAAAAUAAUACUAAUUGAUUAAAUGUGCGAAAAGCACGAAAUUAUACCUCAUGUCCAAGUAUAGUUGCAAUCUCAGCAUCAGUUCUAAAAUGCUCAAGCAACCCCGUGAAAACUACAAUCUUACCACCAGGCAAACAAAAUGCAUUCACAACAGGUUCAUUAACCACCAAAACCUCCCAAUUUAAACCCUCCAAAUGUCCAGUUGCAGGUGACUUCCCCUUCUCUUGACCGCUCUUCCGGCUUUGUUGGACCCACUUAUCAUCAAGGAUCUCAUCCUCCCUGUUCCAUUUCCCUUCAGUGGUAGACAUAUUAUCACUCAAUGCCAUCAAGGUCUCAUGUCCACUGUUCUCAUCUGGCUCAUAUGCAUGGUCAGAUGCAUAGCCAGGAUCAGUCCACACGUGCUCCUUGCUCAGCCCUCGUUGCAGAGCCUCGAUGAGGUCUUUUGCAAUCAACCUCACUCUAACACUCUCCGGGUGGAUGGGUGGCAGAAUUUUCCCCUUGAACGCCUUUUUCAUGUCCUGGAACUGAUGCUCCCCAAGCUGUCUCUCAAGACCUUUGGACAAAAGCACAAAAUGGGUUCUUUUGGUAUAAGGAACAGUUUCCAAGUUACCAAAAUAAACAGUAAUCACCACCCCUGAACCCACCAAAAUCACAAUGAACACAUUUCUUGGAUUCUGAAACCAUUUUUUGUACCCUCGGGGCCGAAAGUGAUAAAUUUGGUGCCGAUCAACAUAGUAAUAUCUUCUUGCCCCACCUAAAGAAGGGCGGCACUGAUUUUGCUUGAGCCCCAAUUGAAAACCUGAGUUUCUGAAAAUUGGUGCACAAAGGCCAAAUCCGUUAGCCCUGGAUGUGUUACCGGUGGAAGUAUAAGAAGCAUACUGUGGCUGGUAGGGCUUUGGAAGGGAGUUUGUGAUCGGGCUUUUGGGCACAAUCUUAGUAGUGAAGGUCUUAAAGGCAUCAACUAAUCUAGAUCUUCUGUACCAUGCCAUGGUGUCGCAAAUUGCAAUAAAUGGGCAUUAAUCAGGUCACAAAAUCAUCUUCUGAGGGUUUUGUUGAGAACAAAUUGAGAAACUCGGAUAUGAAGAGGGGAAGAAGAGAGAGAGAGGAAUUGGAAGGUCAAAAAUGGGAACUUGAGGGAAGGGCUUUAAAAUUUAAUAUUUUGUGAUGUUUUGGGACGUAAAAGAGUGGAGUGGGUGACCGUGGAGAAUGAUGCAUUGAGGAAAUCAGGGGGACGAGUCUGGAAGACUGGAACUGUGUAUCGACCAGUUCGGAUGUUGUCCCACGUCCGUAGGAGAAGCAACUAGUAUAAAGCAGCGGGGAAAAGAAACGAAGAAAGAAACUCUUCUUGCUAGUGCCCGGCAGCCGUAAUAUCCUACGUGCCUUUUUUUUUUUUUUUAAAUUAUGGUCAUUGUAGUGUAAAGAAACUCUUUUAGAGCAGUAUUAUAAAUUUAUAAAUAAUCAACCAUUCUCAAUAACUCCAGUCCGUGCAAAUUCAAGGAAAGGAGCAGUGUGCCUCCUCAUUCGAUCCUAGCACAGAAGUACCCAUCUGAGUUUUUUCUGCAACAGCACAAGUUUAGAGUAAGAAUUUGCAGUAAAUGGCUUGUUAGAAGAAUUUGCUCAUAUCAGUUUUGGCAGAACUUUUAUUUUUCUUUAUUAUCCGAAACUGUGUGAAAGAAAUUGGAAAUUUUCUUCUUUUUUUUAAUCAGUAGGAGAAAAUUUCUUGGACAUUUUAGCUGCAUAGACCUUGCCAAGUUCUUCCUCCCGCGAGUACUACUACGCAAUUUAUCAAUGAUAAGUUUUCAGUGUAUUAUACAUAAUUACAUAGCACUAGCGUCCGUUUCAGCGAAGGAAGUUUAUUUGAGUACUGAAUUUACUGUUCAGUUUUCUUUUCGUUAAACCGUGUGGCCAUUCUGUGUAGCGCUCAGGUCAGUGCUCCAUAGAUCCUCGUUUCCAUCGACUUUUCUUCCCCGCUGCUAACGCUACACGGUCCAUGAUGAUUAAGAGGAGGCACAAAAAAAAAGAGGAGCAGGAGGAAAAAUUAUCCAGCGCGUCCGACGUUUUUCAGCGAAAAUAAAAUAUAUCUCCCAAACAAUCUAAGAUGAUUCGAUAAUUAAUUGAAGAUACACUGAGCUCUAUCGCAGAUUGAAGAUACAAAUCUCGCAGUUUCUGCAAAAUCAAGGACCUAAGAUGGGGAACCCAGCAAAACCCCCAAAACUCUAUUGUAGAAUUAUCUCCUGGGAAAAAAAUGGGACAUACAUAGAAACCGAAACAUACAGGCACGAGAAAUGGGAUGCACCUACUAAAAAAUUGUCAAUUGAAUUGCUUAAUUAAGAAGACAGAAUAACUCAUAAAAACCACCACAAAAUUUCAAGCUGCCAUUUUGGCAAGAAAACUUCACCAUUUACGGCUGUUAUUUCUGAAACCUCCCCCACCGCUUGGACUUUUGGAGAACUGACCAUUCCUCCUAUCAGAUGAACCGCCUCUUCCCCCUCUUCCCCCAGAGAACCGAUUACCACCCCCCCUCCUAUCAGAAAAGCCACCACGACCACCACUCCCAAAUCUUGCACCUCUUACCUGGUCUCUGUCUUGCAACCGUGGCAAUAACUUCACAACAUCCAAGCUAACCCCACCAGCACCUUCCUGGCCUGCACCGCCACAAGUGGAGGAAAAAUACUUUUUGAGUACAAAAACUAAAUCAAGAAAUACAAGUAUUUCCAUUUUUAGGAAGGCAAUAGUUGCAAUUUCAGUGACCCUCUGCCAUUCAUAGGUGUCAGAAAUUUCAUCUUAUUAAUUGAAAGAUGAAUCUUUGUCAUGAAUAAUAUUGCAAAUCACCUCUAAUAUUACCAAGACCACAUUAUUUCUAUAUCAAGGGGUAAAGAAUGAAAUGUACCCUUGAGAAACAAGUCCAGAUCUUCAGCAGCCACAUCAAACACGGCCCCUUUUCCAUCAGCCGUUAAAGCAAGACCCUUAAUUGACUCGACCUUUUCUUCAGGUAAGAACCUUCGCAGCACGCUGUAAGCAAAGCUGCCACAAGAAGACAUCAAAAGGAUUAUUAAGGCAGAGAAUGACACACAUAAAAAAGCACAAACAAUUGCUCAAAAACUCCACUCUAUAUCAUGCCUACAUGCAGAACACUAGGAUGCAGUUUCUAAGUUUUGGACCAUAGUCCAAUACCUUUUUUGUUUUUGAGGCAAAGCGAAAGCAAAAGUAACACAGUAUUAGCUAAAAUUCAAGACUCAUCCCAUGUUAACAUGCAUUACAAUCGGCAUAAGAAACUUUUAUCUACAAAGAACAAGUUUCAAUCUCCAACUUAAGAAUCAAAUCACUGCACAUUAUGUUGGCCAAUUUAAAAAUGGUACGCUCACAAUCCAAAAACAAGUCAGCCAAAACCAUCUAGCCCAAAAUUGUUAUCUGUAUAAUGUGGGAAAAUGCAAAGUGUUUGUUUUCAUAUUCAUUCCGAAUUUGCUUUCUGGCAAUAAGGGAAACUGAGAGAAUAAUAAUCUCAAGGGGUUUUACAUGCCAAGAAAAAACCAAGUCAGUCGAGCACAAGCAGCGGCACUAUCAAGAUUAAAUCUAAAAGGAUUCUAGUGCUUACGAGGGCGUGUAGAUGGGCCUUCCACACUCCAGUAGUAACGUGACAUGGUUUUCCAUGGAAGUAAGAAUUGAACGACUCUUGAUCUCUGAAUAACCCUGCCCAACAUGUAAAACUGAAUUCAUCAGCUGCUGCACUAUAAGAAAUUGACAAUAUGUACCUAAUAUAAUACAGAGAGAGAGAGAAACCUACAGCAGCCUUGGCAAGAGCUUUUGCAAGAAGUUCUACUGGGGAUAAAUUAGAGUUGUUCAGUAGCUCCUCUGCAGCAGCCUUAAAUGCCGGAAUGACGCUGCAAUUUUACAUUAUAUGCAAAAGUAUAAGCUGGAGUAAAGUACUUUAAAACAAACUUGAAUGAGUAGUAUAUGAACCUGUCAGAGAUUUGGGAAAUUUUUUCUGCAGCUUCUGCACCAGCUGCUUCAGCAAUAUCAGCUGGCUGUGGAGCAGAUACAUGUUCAAACUUCACACCACAUUCUCUUUCUAUCUUAGAAAUGUUUGAUCUCCUAGGAUCAUAAAGCAUUACAGCAACACCAGUGUUCCCUGAAAGAAAGAGGCAAGACGAUCAAUAGGCAUUCAACAUUUCAAACAUCCAAAGUCACUGAUAUCCAAGGAUCCACAACUCACCCGCUCUGCCUGUACGUCCAGAACGAUGGAUAUAUGCUUCUACAUCUCGUGGGGGCUCACACUGCAAAAUUAAACAUCACUGCAUACAAUAAGUAACAAGGUUUUACAAUCAAGAAAUGCGAGAUAUUUGGAAUAGUAAAGACAAACCUGGAUUAUCAACUGGACAUUGUCAAUGUCCAAUCCACGUGCUGCCACAUUUGUGGCCACUAAUGUGGUGAACUUUCCGGAUCUGAAGCCACUGAGUGUAACCUGAAUGCAAGGUGGUUUUCAUCAGUCAAAAGCUGAAGACAUCAACCUAAAAAUCUAAACUUAGAUUCAACCAAUAGGAAUAUACGAGAUUGUCCAAACAUAUGGUACAAUAUCUUAUACUUGACACUAGAAAGUCAGCAGAAAGAUAACAGUGAAUUUUGUGUGCCAAAAUGACUUAUAACUCAGCAUCAUUUCCUAUUGGCAAGAGUUGUGGCUCCUUAAUUUACUGCUUUUCCUCCACCCAAUUACAGUUUAAUAUAGAAGUAUUCCCAUAAUCGGGAACUGGACUGAGAAAUAAGGGGGCCAGAAAAAAUAAUCAACAGUAUUGGAAACCUUUAAUUUCAUUUAGUUCCCAAAAGCGCACACUUUACCUCUCGCUGGGACUGCUGUAUGUCACCAUGCAAAGCACGUGCUCCUGGCAAUAAGCCAGCAAGUUCAGAAGCUGAAUCCUUUGUCUCAGUGAAAAUAAUAGUUUGACCUCCUCUGAAUCAACAAAAUCGUAUGGUAAUACAUCAGGAUGCACUUCAUUAACUUCAUGAACAGGCAAAACUUUUAGCAAAAGAAUAUUGACCAGAAAAAACCUGCUAUAGCAAUGAAUAAUGUCAGGAAUAAGUUGGGCUCUUGCUGAAGUAGAGCAAGGCAGGACAAUAUGCCUGACACUUGCACUAGCCUUCAUUUUCUCAUUGCCAAUUAGGUCUACAGUUUUCUUAUCAGGUUUCAGGAACUUGGCUGCAAUCUGAACAUGCAAAUCAAAUGUCAGCCUUGUAGGAGUGUAGGAGAAGUACAAAGGUAGGUUGCAAAACAGCAUCUAGCAACAGAGAGCAGAACUUCUCUAAUCCAGAAAAAAAGCUAAAAAUGAUUUCCCGUUUUAAACUCUGAUCUCAGUAUGAAGAUAGUGAUACUGAGCAAUAGAAAAGGACAUACUUGCUUCACCCAAUCAGGUAACGUGGCGCUAAAAAGGAGUGUUUGAACUUCGCUUGCACUUUCAACCUUGCCUUUGGAAGUUCAAAAGCAAAGUGUCAUUGACAGUAGUAAAAAACAAAAUACCAGCAAACUUAACAACAUCCAAGCAUCUAAAAGAGAACUAUUAAAAUAAUUUACAUACCUAGAAUAAACUCAACAUCGUCAACAAAACCCAUCUUCAGCAUUUCAUCAGCUUCAUCAAGAACACGGAACCUCAAUGAGCUCAAGUUGAUAUUUUCCCUCUCUAUGUGAUCCUGUAGCGUUCCCAAAGGCAAACAAUCACUCGUCAGAACAACUCAAAUUUCCGCAAACCUAGAAAAGAUGAUGUAGCAAUAAAGCAUGGUACCUUAACACGGCCAGUAGUGCCUACUACUAUGUCAACCCCUCUUUUUAGUUGAAUCUCUUGCUGUCUGUAAGGGGAUUGCCCGUAUAUACAACAAGAUGUCAGACCCAAUGCUCCACCAUACAGUUCAAAGUCAGUAAACACCUAACAAAUGGGAGUAAAAGAGGAGGAAACAAGAUAAGGCAACAGAAUUUGGUGGAGGUGACCAAAAUCCACAAAGGUUUUAUAAGGAGAGUUCCCAGGAUCAUACCUGGCAGGCCAAUUCCCUAGUGGGUAAAAGUACAAGAACACUAGGUGCCCUCCCGUAUCCAGUCUUUCGUGCUGCUUUUGCAGGUCCAUUUGUCAAGGACUCCAGUAUAGGCAGCACAAAGGCCAACGUUUUACCCUAUAUUUAAAAACAAAAAUUUCAUCAGCCUAAAUUAACAAAUUUAUCCAGAAUAAUUUCAAGAAAAACGAAGCUAGGAACAGUCCAAGACCCCACUUUUAUUUUACCCAUGCUAUUCGGAAACAUUCUCUCCAAGCUCAUACAAGAUUCUUGUGCAAAUAUUUAUAAUUAGUACUCAAAAAGGAAUACUGCAGAAUUACAAAGGGAAUAUACCUGACCAGUGCGAGCUCGACCGACCAAAUCAGACCCAUCCAAAACGGUAUCAAAAGUCAUGGCCUGAAUCGGAAACAAAUAUUCAAUUCCCUUUACUUUCAAUGCCUCUCUCAACCUCUCCGAUAUCCUAAACUUCGUUAAAGCAUUCGGAUGCUCCUCUUUCACACUCUUCUCCUCAUCAUCUUCGUCUACCUCCGUUAACUUAGCCUUUUUCUUCAUCAAAUUCAUCGGCUCCCCCAACUCCGAGCUCGUAUCACUCCUCUCCUCUUCAUUGACAUUGUCACCGUCAAUCACCGCCGCCUUUCGCUUCUUCUCCUUCUUCUUCUGCUUCUUCAGUUCUUCGGAAUCAGAGUCCGAAUUACUGAUCUUGGUCUUUUUUGACUUCUUCUCUUUCUUAAAUUUUUGCUCCAUGGAAGAGUCCAAUUCAGGGGAUUUUUGAGCCUCGGCUUCGGCGUUUUUCGCUUUCUUCUUUUUCCUGUCUUUGGAAAUCUCUGAUGAACAGUUUCCAGAAACGGCUAAUGAAGGCAUGACGUUACCUUAAGGCUUAAAGUAUGGAAGUCUGUGUAUCGGUAGGUGAGUUAGUGCGUGUUUUCUUGUUCUCCUGCUAUCGAAGGUGAAUUGCACUGGAACUGCAAUUGCAGGAGAGCAGAAACACAAAAAAGAGGGAAGAAAACGUUCUAGGGUUUGAGAAUUUAUAGGCUGCGGCGGUGAGGCAUCGGGACCGUUGGAUUGUGGCUGUUUUUUCCAGCUUCAUUCUACUGCUUAAUUGCCGUUAGAUCGCAACGCUAAUUAGUUGCCAGCAGUGUAUUUGUAGUAAUUCUCCGGAUCAAGAACGAAAAUAAGCAGAAAUUAAAAAGGGUCAAAGCUUAAUACCCGCAGCUGGUACUUGGGCCUUUGCGUAAGAAUUUCGAUGCCCCAUAAUUAAAAAAGCCCAAGUUGGCCUGACGUCAUAAGCGUUGCAACAGCGCUACACAUCAUUACUUAUUGGGCCAUAAUCAGAUUUGGUCCAAUUUGAAGCACAUAGGGCAAAAAGAAAUAAAAAGGGGUGGUUUGGUAAUGUUUAUGUUGGUCAAAUUCUACUAACAAAAUCCUAAAAGCAAGCAUUUGUUAGAAUUGUUCAUGUUUUUAUAACAUAAUAAUAGAAACUUUUUAAAAAGAGGGGAAAAUUAUUGCAUUUAAUUUUGUUACGAGAAUUGCAUCUUCUACGGCUUUUGAAAAGCUAAACAUGCAUAUUUAUUCCCAAAGUUCUUGAAACUCCCAUGCUCUAGGGAUGCGUUUGAUAAAAUUGAAGUUUGAAUUUAUUAAAUUAUUGAAUUAUUAAGUAUUAAAUUUAAUACAUUUGAGUGCAUAUCACAUUCAGUAAUAAGUGAAUAGUUUAUCACUUAAUUUUAGAAGCAAGUUUUGUCUAGAAAAUUUAGUGUCAUUUAAUUACUUCAGAUGUUUAAUUUUUCGUUAUCAAACAAUCUGAAUGUCUUAAGGUCUGAAUUCAUUAAAUUUAAAUAUUGAAAUGAAUUAUGAAACAGGAUCUGAAUUGGGACUUCUCGACUACAGCCUAGGUUCACUUCAUAGAAUCAUAUAUGUCAUAUCGAUAAUUAAUACGAGAAAACGAUUUGUCAAAGCACUACUGGAUUAAUUAUGCGAAGUAAAAGCUACACACCUAUGGAGUUGAGUCUAAAAGAAAAAUUAACUUGCCAUGCCAGGCAUCCUUGUCGUUCACUUUUUUUUUUUGUCAACACAGGAGUGUCCGGAUCAAGGCCCGAAGGCGUCCUUGUCGUUCACGUUCUAGGUAUUAAUACGUGAAAGUCUACACUCUACAUGUGCAUUUAAAAUUGCCUCCCUCCGCCUCUCCCAUAAAGGCAUAAACUGUUGUGGUGUCUCGCCCUUGUUCCUCCCGCCCAUCGCCUUCCCCUCCGUGAGGUCCACAAGGAAAGGCACCACAAUGUUCAGUGAAAGACCCAUGGCCUCGUACUAUUUUUUUUUUUAGCGAAUUUCGGAAACGGGAAACCCAAUUUGUUUUAGUAGAACUUCCAUGGAUUGUAAAGCGUUAGAGUUUGUUUUAUGCGCAUUCUGCAAAGAACCUGUGCUAAACUUUUUACUUGAACUUCAAGUGUACCUAUUCACCUCUUUUAUGCAUGAUAUCCCCUUUUUUUGCUACUAAAUAUAUAAUGGUGAUUGUAAUCCAAUCGGAGACAAAAUUAAUUAAUUAACAUUAUACAUAACUAUUUAAUAGUUUAAUUAGAAAUUAAUUAUUUAGAAUAUAUAUAUAUAUAAUAUGCCGGGGACGAGGUGGGAAUGAGGCUGGGGACUCUGCCCCCAUUUGAGGGAGAGAAAAAUUCGCCCCACCCACCCUAUUCCUUCCCCAGUAGCCCAAGUACCCGUCUCCAUUAGCAUUUCUACUAAAGGAUUAUUUAGACAAGAUUAAUUUUAUAGACUUUGUUUCUUUUUUUUUUUUGUCAAGAAGUCAAUUGACUUUUACUGACCAAACAAACCUUAAUCCCAGAGCAUACUCCAAAAGCCGGCUAUAGACUUUGUUUCAAUUCACUUUAAUUUCGUAGGUUUUGUUUCAAUUCACAAAUUGUCAAAUGGGAUAGGAGGAUCCAAAUUUAGAAUAACUAUUAACAAAGCGUUAGAGCACCUCAUGGUCUUACAUCAUUAUAUUCUACUCCUAAAUUACCUUUAAACUAAUUUGAAAUAACUUACAUAAAACUAUUAAUUUUCCUCCAAUAUAUAUCCACUUUUCUCUCCUUGUUUUUUUUUAUUUUUAAAUUGUACAAAAUAUCUUAAAUUAUAUGAGUAACCAACAAUCAUGAUUGUGAGUAAUUCAUUGAAUAAUCAUUUAUCCACACAAAUUUAGCUCAUUAGAUUUUCUACGUGUUCACAAUCAAAUUUUUUUUUAAAAAAAGUUAGUUUUGAUAGAAAUUCUAAUAUGUAUAAUUUGUUUUCUGCUAGUUACACAAACAUCAAGAGGGCCUCACCAAACUAGCUAGUUUAGAAUAAUUGUCGGCCAAAUUCUUUCAAGCAAUGUACAACAUUAGUAACAAGUUAUGAAUUACUACAAUCAGUGAAUUGGUGACAAGGUGUAAAAAGCAUAUGUGAAAUGGAGAUGAGAUGUAGAUGCGCAGCGUUUCGAUUUUUUGGAUAUCAUUCAUGGCCAUCCAUCCAAAUCUGCGGAAUGGAAACUUGGCAGACCUCCUCAAUGAAAGUAAACAUUCUAAACAAGUGAACAGAUGCUUAAUCCUUUAUUCUAAACAAGCGGUUGAAUUAGGACGACAGUCAAAAAGAUCUAACUUCCGGAUCUUCCAUCGUUGUCAACCUUCUUAAUUUACUUCCUCGUAUGUGAACAUAAUACGCCCAAUCUACAUACACAAUCACAGCUAUUUUCUGGUCUUUACCUCUUUAGAUGGCUAAAUACAGAGUUAGUUCUUCUUUGCUCAUAAAAACAAUUGUUGGCGAUUUACGAAAUUCAGAAGCAUGCAGACAAACGUGAUUGCACCACAUAUAUAAGACAUAUUCAUACUACUAUUUAUCUCGCGUCACCAUCCCUCAAGAAUUUGGCCAACUUUCUGGCUUCUGCCCCCACAAGUCCACAACAAAGGAUGAUCAUCUUUCGCCAACCUAAUGGCUGGCUGAAAUGCGCAUCAUCUCCGAGCCAAUAAUACAAUACAAUGGAAACCCUAUUGACACCCCUCGCCCCCAACAAAAACCAAAACAAAAAAGGCCUUAUAUUAUUGCAAUGCACAUGUAUACAUGUUCAACAUUCUUCUAAUUGCCAGAGAAAUGGAGCGUAUACAUAUGUAACACAAAUGUAUUUUGAGACCCAAAAAGUAUACAUAUAUAUAUAUAUAUUACAGAAGAAAUUAAACCUAAUAUUUCAUGCUCCUUUUAAUCUAAAAUAAUACCCGCGUAAUGAGAAAUUCAGGUUAUCCCCUUAAGUACACUUGUAACCCCCCCCUCCAUUCUAUAUAUUUUUAAGAUAAGAAAAGCAUUGAUGGAAUUAUCACUUGUAAACACCCUCUUUUUGUUUAACCCUCCUCAAAACCCCCUCAACGGCUAUAUCAAAUGCAUCUUUAAUGCCUUCCAACCCCUCGUUUGGUUUUGCAUACACAAUUCUUGGUAGAUAUUCGAUUACUUUUUCUCUCAUCAUUUUUACCUUCUCUUUGCUUAUGCUCUCAAGGACCGCUCUAAUUGACGUGGUUCCAUUCUGCACCUCUCCCCUGUGUAUGAACACCGAGUAACUGUCCGGUUGACUGGGUAAAAACCAAGCGUACUGCAUGUAAGCCGUUCUCCUCCAGAAGAAAACCGGGAUUGAACCGGCCACCAUGCAAUCAAAAAUGGACCGACGAGUGAAACUGUCACCCCUCGGCUGUAAACAAAAGUCCGAGUCCAGAAACGAUUCGAGAAUUGCUGAAGUCCCGUUAGAGCACUUGGAGCCGGUGCAAUCCACGACUCGGCAAGCGUCCGAGUUGUUGUAGCACUGACUCAGUAACAGUCCUCUAAAGUCGUUCCUGUAAAACCCGCGUGUGCCUCCCGCGAAGCAGUAUAGAGUCUUCCGCUGAUGCUGGCGUACAAAAUCCUGCCAGCCCAUGACGUCAGAGGCUGUGCUGGGGUGGAAUCCGGUGGGAUAUGGCACACCGACAUCGAAAUAGUCCCACGGGUUGCGCUCUAUCAACAAGCGCGUGAUGUUUCUCAUUCCAGGCAUGUAAAUACAGCUGGAUCCCCAGACGCGGCCUUCGAUUCGGCGGAAAUCCCAUGUGAUCCGGCCCAUUGUAAUAAAAUGAUCCCAGCCGUGGGAUCUGUUCCAGUAAGGCUGAUUAUUCACCCAAUCCAGCAUCAUCUCGCAGUACCGAUCGCGGUCCUCGAAUGUAUGAUUAUACCAUAGGUACUUUCCCACUGCUAGUCCCGCGUAAAAAGGUAUGUAGAACGCAGUAGCAGAUUCGGGCUCCAAACUUCUGCAACGAUAAUUCAUCAUUCGGUUGUGGUGAAGGAUCUCCAAAGCAAAUUGGUCAGUCCAGUGCCAUGCAUGCCUGAGAUUUUCGGGGACAAGUUUUGAAAUCCCAUUUGCGACUUUUCCGAAGCCGUGAUUCGAAAACAAGUCGCAGCCUGAGUUCCAGGGGCUCAGCUCAUGGCAAUUUUUUAGCAAUUCAUGGUUAAAAAAUGAUGGGAGGUCAUAAACGUAGACUUUACCAUAUGGGCAGAGGACGUUCAAGUUCAGGGCCGUUUGGUUAGAGCCAUCAACAUCAAGGGUGGCGGAGUGACCAGGUGUGACGGUAGUGGAAGGAGGGAAGAGGAUUUUUGAGGGGUGGGAAGUGGGGAAGAAAGGGAGAGAGCGAGCGGAGAGGAGGAGGAAUAUGUGGAGGAGGAGAAUGGCGAGGGGGAGGCAUGUACCAGGAUGGUGAAAUGAGAGGUAAGGCUGAAAUAAGUUGGAGUAGUUCUUUCGGUUUGAUGAUAAUUCGGGGUUUUUGGGUUUUGAAGGAGGUUUAGAAGGAGGGGUUGUCAUAGAUAUAGGAAGCAUGAGAACAAGGAGGAGAAGCGUAUUCCGAUACCUAGAAAGCAGGAAAAAAAAGCGUGGUAACGGCGAACUUUGGCCGGGAAAUCUCGUGGUGGCGGUUGAUAGGAAAAAAGAGAGGUGGGAGAAUUAGAUAGAGGAGAGAAGAGACGGGACUUCAGUUUUGUAAAGCGACGAAGGCUCAAGGCUGGGGUUGAGCAGACAAGUGAGAACUGAGAACAGUGGAAUGCGAAAUCAACUCUCGUCUACUCACUGCAGUGUAAAACACUAAAUAUAAGUCAAGCAAGACUAAGAGCAGUAGCAGUACAUAAUUUUCCGUUAUAUUUCCCAAAGCCGAAAGCUUGCAAGAUAAAGCUUUGGCUAUUUCUAAAACAGUAGAAACCAUUCACACCUACAACUUCUUUGCAAUGUGCUGUUGUUGUUUAAAGGAAAGUUAAGGGGAAGAAAAAAAAGACAGGUUGUUCAAUAGAGAAUACAGAACAGAGUUGCAUUUUGUGUCAAGUUUCGUAUUCAGAAUUCAAUUAUUCUCACUCUAUGAGCUAGCGGGGAAAAGGAGAAAAAAGACAGAGAAAAACGAAAGCGACAUGCAUUAUUGCCAUGUGUUGCAAAAUUGCCACGUUAAUGCGUGAAGUGAAAGGAAUAUGCAUGGAUGGAACAGCUGCUGUUUAAUCAUUAAUGGGGUGUAGUCCCGGGACGAUUAAGGACGAAGAAUCAAUCAUAUAUCCUUCUGAUUUUGAGGUCCCGGCACGAUUAAGGACUGAGGACAGGACAGGACAGGUCACGGGACAGGAGCAGCAACAAGAUGUGCCGGCCGGAAGUCUUGCGAUGCGAAACUUUGGAACAUGCAUUGCAUCCCUUCAGUUGUGGUAUCAAUGUCAUGGGACAUCUACACAAGGGCCGUCCACAGAACUGGACAUGGGCCAUCUGAGCGGGCCCAAAGCCGAUAUUCACAAAAAUUUUCAAUCUCUGGAAUUACUCUUUUCUAAUCACGACUUCAUAUAUGGGAGUAACAAAAUAGUAGUACUGUAGUAGUGUAUAAUUUCACAAUUCAAGUCAUGAACAAAAUUUAUACAUCUUAGACCAAUACAGCUUAUUACUGCUAUUGUUUUUAGUAGGGAAAUGAUGGAAUUUAAUUACAUUUUAAAUAUUUUGUUUAAAUUACUUUCCUAUCCCCCGUUUAAGCAGCCUUUUGAAAUUAAAUUGGCAACAAAAGAUGAGUUCUUUUGCUUAGUUUUGGCUGAGAUAAUAAAAUGCUUCUAAGUUGUAACAAUUCCAAGACUUCUCAUUAUAUUAAUCUUUCGAUCAAGCCACCCCUGCGUUUCCCAUGAAUCAGCACAUCCCACCCACUCGUGGGCUGCGGGUCUCUGUUUCUCCUUGUUAAUUUUCUUUUCCGUCAAUAUUUGUUGUCUCCUUCACAGAACAAAUUGGGCAGGAAAAGGGAAAAAAAACUCAAAAUAAGAGGAAUCAUCGUGUUGCUUAAACUCGAUCAUCUCUGUCUCAGCAUCUGUUACUUUUCUUCCUUUGAAAUUUUCAUCGGACGUAUAUUCAAGUAGGACUCUGCUUGUCGCCUGUAUCCGUCCAUUGCGCAAAACGAGAUAGCAUCAAAUUAUCUCCGAUGUCUUCUUGGGACUUUUCAGUUCAACUCUGGAUCUACUACCGUCUGUAAAGAGAUACACUUGGCCAGCCAAAUUAAUUCAUUUUAUGCCAGUCCAGCCCACCCUGUCCUCGUCAAUUUUCAAUUCAAAUAAAACGAAGAAAUAUUGGAUUCCACAAAGAACCAAUUGCUGGUUUAGAUGCUGUUUUGUCAUCCUCGAGGGGUGAAACGGGAACUACAUCCAGAACAAACAAGAACGGUAAAAGUAGCCUCCACGUGGUUGGUUCAGUGAUGAUCACGAUCCUUUGGAACACAAAGGUCUCGGAAUUGAAACUGUCUCCUGGGACAUCCGGUGAUUCGCCCGGAUAAACGUUGUGUUGGUCGCAGCGUUGCCCUCCUAUUUGGUGUGCCGACUCGGAUUCAAAGUACUCAGGUCGAACAUGUUCUGGGUUACCAAAAUAUAUAUAUAUAUAUAUAUUGCACUAGUCUUUUCCUUGUAGCAAUAUGCAAUCGUCAGAUGGAAUAAGAAACAACACUCGCUGUAUGCCAAAAACAACAGUGAGAUAAAUGGAAUUGAAGCAUUAUGCGGCGAUGCAAUCAGCACAGGUAUGCUGUGCAGCUCACAACAUUCAUCCUGUCCCCAGUGUUGAUCUCCUAAUAUGUACUUGCUUCGGAUGUCUAGGACUUCUAAAAUUAUACCCUUUCCGCACCAGCUUUCGGAGACAUGAAAGUUUCUAUCAGUUUGGUAUCCAAUAAAGCAAUUAACUCAAAAGACCAGAGCAGGGCAUAAGCUCACUUUCAACCAACCCCAUAAAUAGAAAAAGUAAAGAUUGAUCAUGGAUGGAGAAUAGAUACUCGUUAAAACUACAUAGGUCUUGAACAAAGCAAGUUCUGAUCGAACUAGUUAAAAUCAGAAGGAAUUUCCACUACAGGAAUUAUUACAACUCCAGAUAAAGAUCAUAUUACAUUAAGAGCAUACAAAGAUUUCCCCAACAGAACACGAUAUACUGUGCUGCACCAAGUUUGGAAUAUUCGAGAAUGUAUAGUGCUAUAUCAUUACCAUUCACUG